rnacentral:snRNA from 1 species
AUAUGGUUUUCACCGUUUGUCUU